CUUGUACUCCCUCCGUCCCAUAUUAAGUGACUCAAAUUUGUCUAAAUAUGAACGUAUCUAUAUACAAAAAUACGUCUAGAUACAUGUAAUAUUUUGGCACCUAAUAUGGGAUGGAGGGAGUAAUAA
rfam:Brachypodium distachyon strain Bd21 chromosome 1, whole genome shotgun sequence.